UAGUGCAGUGGAUUUAAGCUCCACAAAUAAAGUUUCACACUUUUUUUAGAACUAUC
rnacentral:tRNA from 1 species